UACAGAGGUCCCAAGCGUUGUUCGGAUUCACUGGGCGUAAAGGGUGCGUAGGCGGUUGGGUAAGUCUGUCGUGAAAUCUCCGAGCCUAACUCGGAACCUGCGUCGGAUACUAUUCAACUCGAGGAAUGGAGGGGAGACUGGAAUUCUCGGUGUAGCAGUGAAAUGCGUAGAUAUCAAGUGGAACACCAGUGGCGAAGGCGAGUCCCUGGACAACUCCUGACACUGAGGCACGAAAGCUAGGGGAGCAAACAGG
rnacentral:rRNA from 1 species